GACGAACGCUGGCGGCGUGCUUAACACAUGCAAGUCGAACGGAAAGGCCUCUUUCGGGGGGUACUCGAGUGGCGAACGGGUGAGUAACACGUGAGUAACCUGCCCUUGACUUUGGGAUAACUUCAGUAAACUGGGGCUAAUACCGGAUAGGAGCUCCUGCUGCAUGGUGGGGGUUGGAAAGUUUCGGCGGUUGGGGAUGGACUCGCGGCUUAUCAGCUUGUUGGUGGGGUAGUGGCUUACCAAGGCUUUGACGGGUAGCCGGCCUGAGAGGGUGACCGGCCACAUUGGGACUGAGAUACGGCCCAGACUCCUACGGGAGGCAGCAGUGGGGAAUAUUGCACAAUGGGUGGAAGCCUGAUGCAACAACGCCGUGUGCGGGAUGACGGCCUUCGGGUUGUAAACCGCUUUCGCUCAUGACGAAGCUUUGUGUGACGGUAGUGGGUAAAGAAGCACCGGCUAACUACGUG
rnacentral:rRNA from 1 species